rnacentral:lncRNA from 1 species
AACUUCCCAUGACAAAGAGACAGAACUUUCCCAAAACUACAUUCUCAAAGAGGAGACAGAAAUUGAUGAGCUUGAAGAUUCCAACAGCGACCACAUUGUUCAUACUGAACUUUGACCUGCCCCCUAAUGAAAUUAAAAUAUCCUCAUUAAUUAAAGUAAUAUACUAAACUGGGUAAAUGGAAAGUAUAGUAUACAAGUAGAGAUUUCUUGGAGGAGGUUUGAGGUGCCCCUGUUAAAUAUUUUGGGAAUUUACUGAUAUUCCAUACAUAGUUACAGACCAACAGCAGUAGAAAGCAAUUAUGCAGUUGGAAAUUUUAAAAAUUAUAGUACUUCUGUAAAUAUUUUAAUUAUCACAUGUGUCUGUAUUAUUUGGAUGUUUGUCGUAAUUUGAAGUUGGAACAAUUCUAGUGAUUUCUCAUAGCUUAAAGAAACUGGUAUUACAGUGCAGUCUUCUCUUGAGCAAGUUCUUACAGGGAUAAAGAAUUGAUCGAAUACUGUAAAUUGAUCAUGUUGGUUUCAAAUCAAAAGCCUGUACCGUAUGUCAAUCCCCUCUUCAGAGCUCUGCACACAUACUGAAGAGAAUCGCCGACAAGCAAAAUGAUUGGCCUUCCAAAUCCCACAAACAACCAUGAUUUUGUUAUAGAAUACUAGCUAUUUGAGUAGCACUUCGUAAUAGGUUGGAUAAUAUUUUUUUU